rnacentral:rRNA from 1 species
CCUACGGGGGGCAGCAGUGAGGAAUAUUGGUCAAUGGCCGGAAGGCUGAACCAGCCAAGCCGCGUGAGGGAGGAAGGCGCAGAGCGUCGCAGACCUCUUUUGCCGGGGGACAAAAGGCCGGACGGGUCCGGUUCUGAGGGUACCCGGAGAAAAAGCAUCGGCUAACUCCGUGCCAGCAGCCGCGGUAAUACGGAGGAUGCGAGCGUUAUCCGGAUUUAUUGGGUUUAAAGGGUGCGUAGGCGGGCAUUUAUGCCGGCGGGCCAAUGUCGGGGCUCAACCCCCGCCUGCC